rnacentral:lncRNA from 1 species
UCAGAGCUUUUUUUUUUUUUUCCCCCACUCAUGGGAAACUGUUACAACAGCUGCAGAAAUAUCGAAAACCUAUAAACCUAAGUGAGGCUGGAGUUGAUAUACUGGGCAGACAUACAUGUCACACUGGAGAGUUACCCGACUGUGAGCUUCUCAGUACAAUGUGAGGGAUGCCUUCCAUUGUGAAAUCACAUAUUGUUGCAGAAAAAAAAAGUGCAAGAAAAUUCUGUAGUUGUAUUUGCAGAGGGAAAAUUGAAUUUAAAUCUACUAAUAUUUCAUUUUCAAACAUGGGUCCAAU